rnacentral:lncRNA from 1 species
GUAACUGUAAUCAAUAUAGUAAAAUAAUUACUUUUUAAAUUAAAAAUAUACAUAUAAAGUAUCAAUGGGUUAUUGUGUAAAUUUUACACUAUAUUUUGUUACCUCAAAAAAACUAGGUCAUUCCUAUUUUGUUACCUCAAAAAAACUAUUAAUUUAGUCAAUGUCGUUAAAGAAAUUAACCAAAUUGAUCACUCAACUGUUAAAUUUAAUGAAAUGCUCUCGUUUCCUUUUUUUUUCUUUCUUCCUUAUUUUUUUUCACCUUCUCCCUUAUAACCCAGAAACCCUAGCCGCAGCCUCCUUUAAAGAUGUUGUUGCUUCUUUUGUCGAACCACUACAGUAAGCGUUGUCCUAUCAAUGAGCAACGCUAAGGGACUCUUUUUUCUCCCUAUUUCCAUGUUUUCCUUUUCCUUACCCAUGGUUCCUGCUUCUCACUAUCUCUAUAGUGAUCGUCCGACAUCUUCUUCGGCACCAAAUUGUCGAUCCAAAGCCACCAAAGUGAAGCCCAAAGCAUUCUCUUAAAAUCUAUAGGAUUACAUUUGUCCAAAAAAAACCCCUAACAAUUGUGAGGCCACUCCCAAAGCUUUAGAAUUUCCGUGCUCUAAUAUCCUAAUCCCCUUAUCAUUAUGGCUUGAUUUUGAGAUGGCUUUAUACUUUUGAGCUAGCAAACAAUGGUUCGACGGAAGCAAUGAUGACAUCUUUAAGAGAGGUGGAGGCUAGGGUUUCUGUGUUAGAAGGGAGAAGAUGAAGAAAAGGAGGGGAGAUAGAAAAAAAAAAGAGAAAGGUUAAAAAAACUAAAAAUAAAUUUAAUGGUGGAAGAGAUGGACUUAAUGGUUGAGUGAUUGAUUUGAUCAAUUUCUUGAACGAGAGUGACCAAAUUUACAAAAAAAAAAAUUUUGAAGUGACUAAAAUAGGAACGACCUAAAUUUAAAG